AAGGUAACAUUCUCCUGUCCUCUUUCCAUCCUUUCUUUCCCCUCUUCUAUGAUUAUCCUAAGCUUUGGGGAACAGAGAUAAUAUACCUAUCUCGUUGGGGGCUGGAAACUCAAGAGUCACUUAUUCUCAGCACCCUCACCAGAUGAGUCUCUGCAGUAACCACUGACCACUAAAACACGAGGCUUCUGUGCCCCAGACUAAGAGCAGCGUUAGUCUAUAGGCGUAAACAUUUAGAAGCUAAUUCGAAAGUCACGUCAUGCCCAGAUAGCACAAUAACAUUAUUACUAUUGCCCCAAGAGCUAUAACUCCUCAGAUAUAGGUUUUUGACCAAGCUCACAGUACAAGGCAUGAAUUCCCUCCUGUGAAGUGAGUCUCAAUUCAACCAGAAAGCAGUUGGUAUUCCACAUGACAGUCGUGCCGCUAUUGUACCACUGGAGACAUCUUGCUCGGAGAUUCUGCUGUGUAGCGGUCAGCAUUCACACUCAGGUAAGAAUAUUGAUGCUUUUUCUCCCUUAAAAUCUUAAAUAGCAACCUCCAGCACCACAAAAGCU
rnacentral:lncRNA from 1 species